GCAACUUACGUCUAUUAACGACGUCAACCCCCAACACUAUUCAUCUUUUUCGCGAGCCUGAGGGUUGCGAGGUCGACAACACGAACCGUCGAACCCUCUUCUCCUGAAAAUUAUCAAAUCAAAACUCUUGAAAUCCUUGAUUUUCUGGUAAGUUUCUGUCGAUUUUGUUUCUCUGUUCUCGAAUCUGUGGGCGAGGGACAGAUUACAAGCACAGAUCCGAAUUUGUAUCUCUAGAAUUUUGGUAACCCUAGAGCUUUUGUUCUAGGAGAAGGUGAAUCUCUUGUGUAUCGUAUAGCGAAGCAGUUGAGCUGAGUAGAAGCUGUCGGUUGCAGGAACUAAGAGAGUGAAUGAAAAAUCCUGUGCACGAUAUUUGAGUCUACGUCCAACCCAGGUUAGGAACCCUAAUCUCCGAUUGGAGGCUUUGAAAGCGGCAACCGGCCAAUAGAGUUUUGAUUUUUUACGCUACUUGGGAUGGAGAUUCUGAGUCUGCUGACCGUGAUCGAUUGUCCGAUGCUCCCCACUUUCUCCUUACUCCACUCGAUCGGGACACAAAGCAGGGAUUGCAAAUCAUCUUCCUUGACAUGGUUUCCUUGUGAAUAUGCCAAAAACUAGACUUGUAAAUAUUUGUUAUCUUUGGACUUUGUGGAAUCAAAACAUUUGUGGAUAGGGAUUGAUACUGUAGAUAAAAAUGGAGUCAAAGAACGGAAAGGUAUUGGGUAAUGGUCAUAGAAUGGGGGUUGACUUGAAGAGAAAGCGGGCAUCCCUGUGUGCAGCAAAUUUCACUGGAGCUGCUCGUACAGUGUUGCCACGGUGCACCGCCUUUGAUUCUCUAUCCAACAAGCUUUGCAAGCGGGUGAGGUCAAAUGGAUGCAAGAAUGAAUCUGGUGGUCGCUUUAACAAAUUUGCUAUAAAAAAUUAUUUAAAUUUUAAGAAGAGUGGGUUGCCUCAACGUCUUAUGUUUCACUACAAUGGUGAAUGGACUGAUUUUCCUGAGGAAUUUCUUAAGUUGGUUAAGAAAGAUUUUCAGGAAAAGAAGGCAGCAAUUGAAGUUGACUUCAAGGGUCGUCGUUCAUUGCUAAAUUUUAUGGACAUGAUCCAAGUUGAUCUGAAGACAGGCUCACAACAGCCAAUUGCUUGGAUUGAUGAAACAGGUGGCUGUUUCUUUCCGGUAGCAUAUUCUGAUGACCAGGAGAGGCGUAAAUGUUCUCAAUAUGAACUGAGGGAAGAUGAGUCAUGUUUAUAUUCAGAACCGGAUAUCAAGUUGCAACUAGAGAUUGAACUAACUGGUGCCAGUAACGUGAAGUCAGAAGAAUGUAGUGAGGAAUCGCAUACUCGUGUUAAGCGGCUUAAAAUUGAAGAAAAACCUUUGAGCAACCAUCUCGAAGAACAUGACAGUACCAAUACCAAAUUGGAUGCAAAGAUUGUGGAAGCUAUUGGGGAGAAUAGGCAUUCGGGUGAAAACUUUCUUUCUCAGAAGCCUAGGUUUGAAGAAUUGGCCCAUGAUGCUGUUCAAGACAUGUUCCUUUUGGGUAUGGGCCCAUCAAUGGGUGCGAAGAACAUACUUGAGAUAUACCGUAGCUCAAGUAAUUUGUUGCAAGCUCGGCUGGAGCUUUUUGAGAAGCAAUUUGAAAUUACAACAAAGUUUCGGGGUGAUGCAAAUAUAAGAUAUGCUUGGCUUGGCUUGUCCAAAGAAGAAAUAUCCCGGAUAAUGGUGCAUGGCCUUUGUUUAAAUGAACUUCCUAAAGUUAAUCCCAUGUAUGGUGUCGGUGUUCAUCUCACACCAGUUAAUUGCUCCUAUAUCAGCGCAAGACAUUGUGAUGUUGACGAAAAGGGUUUACGGCAUAUGGUGUUGUGUCGUGUAAUUAUGGGAAAUAUGGAACUAGUUCAUCCUGGAUCUGAACAGUUUCAUCCAAGUAGCGAAAACUUUGACAGUGGGGUGGAUGAUCUUCAAGAUCCAAAGCACUAUAUAGUAUGGAAAAUGAAUAUGAACACUCACAUCUAUCCAGAAUAUGUCGUCAGUUUUAAGAUGCCAAAUGCUGAAGGUUAUUUAGUUGGGAAUGGAAGCAAAGUGGAUGUGUCUGGAGUCUCAGAUUUAACUUGCAGUCAAGGUCAACUACAACCAGGUUCUUGUCUAGCUGAAUCGAGUGGAUGGAGCAUUUUGACGCCACCAAAGCAAGGUCUUCAGAUCAGAGCUGCCCAUAGGUUCUGGAAAGUUACUGCUACUGGUUAGCCUUUGAAGUGCUGAGGCUUUAACAGUGGGAACAGAGGGUGCUAAAAGGAGUAAUUCAGCAAAUGGGUUUUGGAGAGACUACUGGUUUUUGUUACUUAGUCAUCAGAAAUUCUAAGGCUAUGUGCUAGUUCGAAGACAGGCCUCUAAAGGAGUAACUUUACAAAUUGUGGUCUUUUGCUUCUUCAACUUAUCUCUGCGAGGUUGCUUGCUUGGUUACUCAGCCUCGGAAGUGCCGAGGCUGUGCUAUGGAACACUAGCAGCCAAAGAAUCAAUUCACAAAAUAGGGUUCUGGAAAGUUUACUGCAAUUGGUUACAGUCAUUGGAAACACUCAGGCUGUGCUAGUGGGACCACAGCGGUAUGAAAGGCAUAAUGGGAAAAAUAGGGAGGUUUGAUUCCUCAAUUUACCCCUUCAAGCCACACAAACCAAAGACACAUUUGCAAUGAAUGGAAUUGCAAAAUGGAAACGCUGGAAGCAUGGAGUUUCAGAUGACAACUUCUGCUUGCCAGUAGUACUCUACUUUGUCUUCAAAGCGAAUUGAAUAGGGCAUAAAGUUGAUUUCCCCUUCCACUUAUUUAAUGCUGUGAAGAGGUGGGAGAUCGUCGCUCAUUUCCAGGCUUGGCAAAGGGAUCUCAAACUGAAAACCUCCCUGUUAGUUCAAAUGUUCCAAAGGCUCCUAAAUCUCCAUGGAUGCCUUUCCCAAUGUUGUUUGCGG